rnacentral:miRNA from 1 species
CUCCAGCCCGGACACCCAGGAC